rnacentral:rRNA from 1 species
AUUGAACGCUGGCGGCAGGCCUAACACAUGCAAGUCGAGCGAGAGGCGGACGGGUGAGUAAUGUAUGGGGACUGCCCGAUAGAGGGGGAUAACUACUGGAAACGGUGGCUAAUACCGAAUACUAUCGGAUAACCCAUAUGGGAUUAGCUAGUAGGUGGGGUAAAGGCUCACCUAGGCGACGAUCUCUAGCUGGUCUGCGAGGAUGAUCAUGCGAACGGGUACUGAUACACGGCCCAGACUCCUACGGAGGCAGCAUUGGGGAAUAUUGCACAAUGGGCGCAAGCCUGAUGCAUCCCUGCCGCGUGUAUGAAGAAGUCCUUAUGGUUGUAAAGUACUUUCAGCUGGGAGGCGUUACCCGCAGAAGAAGCACCGGCUAACUCCGUGCCAGCAGCCGCGGUAAUAC